rnacentral:tRNA from 1 species
ACCUGGGUGGCUCAGUGGUUGAGCAUCUGCCUUUGACUCAGGUCGUGAUCCCCAGGUC